AUUCAUCUCUUUCUCAGAAGGAAUGUGCAAGAAAACCAUGAAAGAAAGGCCUCAAUUUCAGCUUUCUGGAGUUGGUCUCGCUCAGUAGUUGCCAGCAUUGGGUGCUCCUCUGCUCUCGGGAUCCUGCUUUUAACCAUUAGAAAUAUAUGCUCCUUUCACUGGCUCUGACAAUCUCUAUUCACUGAUUGCUAUUGCAUUUUUCUUGAGUUUAUGCAUAGAUGGAAGGAUAAUUUUAAAUUCCCAAACUAGGCCUGGAUUUAAGUCUAGAACAACAACAACAACAACAACAGCAACAACAGCAACAGUGACAACAGUAACAGCAGCAGCAGCAGCAGCAGCAGCAGCAGCAGCAGCAGCAGCAGCAGCAGCAGCAGCAGCAGCAGCAGCCUACAGCAACAGCAACAACAGCAACAGCAACAGCAACAACAGUAACAACAGCAGCAGCAGCAACAACAGCAACAACAGUAACAACAGCAGCAGCAGCAGCAACAGCAACAGCAACAACAGCAACAGCAACAAUAACAACAGUAACAAUAGCAGCAGCAGCAGCAACAACAAGCAGCAUGAAGAUGUUACCUUCUUGAAAUAUAAUUCUAAGAUUUGUGAAAUAAAAAUUCAGGUCCAACAAUUCCUAUCUGUUAUUCCUCUGGUAUUUGUACCUGAGUCUGAGUUCUUAUGCAUUUAAAUUAAUGCUCCAAGAUCCAUUUUCUUUCCCUUAAGCCUAUCAUUAGGCUGUCAGCCACGGAAGCAAGUUAUUAACCCAAUCGAAGAAAGUGAGAAACGGUGGUUUAAUAACUCAUCUCCUUAGAUGAGCAUGAAAGUUAGUGUGUCUUGAUGCUGAGGUCAUUGUUGCUGCUUGUCACAAGAAUGGGGUGUUUUAGGACUUCCCUUGCUGCUCCCAGUACAGGCUGUGGUGGAAUAUUCAAAGGUUGGCUGGGUAUGACUGAGGCAAGUUCCAAGUUAAGCAUAGGAAAACCUCAGUGUCAGUCAGUCAGUCAGUAAACAAACAUUUAUCAAGCAUCACCAUGUGCCCAACACUGUGUUAA
rnacentral:lncRNA from 1 species